ACGAACGUUGGCGGCGUGGAUGAGGCAUGCAAGUCGCACGUGAAAGUCUUCGGACGAGUAAAGUGGCGGACGGGCGAGUAACACGUAAUCAAGCUGCCCCUGAGACGGGGAUAACCUCGGGAAACCGAGGCUAAUACCGGAUGGUCUCAACGGAUCGCAUGGUCCGAUGAGUAAAUGGUGGGGUCCUUCGGGACCUGCUGCUCAGGGAGGGGAUUGCGGCCUAUCAGCUUGUUGGUGAGGUAAUGGCUCACCAAGGCUAUGACGGGUAGCCGGUCUGAGAGGACGACCGGUCACACUGGGACUGAGACACUGCCCAGACUCCUACGGGAGGCUGCAGUCGAGAAUCUUCCGCAAUGGGCGAAAGCCUGACGGAGCGACACCGCGUGUAGGAUGAAGGCCCUCGGGUUGUAAACUACUGUCACGCCGUAUGAAUGCCCUGUCGUUAAUAGCUUCAGGGUUGACGUCAAGGCGAGAGGAAGCACCGGCUAACUCCGUGCCAGCAGCCGCGGUAAUACGGAGGGUGCAAACGUUGUUCGGAAUCACUGGGCAUAAAGCGCACGUAGGCGGUUCUGCCAGUCUGAUGUGAAAGCCCUCGGCUCAACCGGGGAACUGCAUUGGAUACUACAGAACUAGAGGACGGUUGGGGUGAGUGGAACUCCUGGUGGAGCGGUGAAAUGCGUAGAUAUCAGGAGGAAACCAGUGGCGAAAGCGGCUCACUGGACCGUAACUGACGCUGAGGUGCGAAAGCUAGGGGAGCGAACGGGAUUAGAUACCCCGGUAGUCCUAGCCGUAAACGAUGGGCACUAAGUAGGGGACCUCCCAAGGGAUCCCUGCCGUAGCAAAUGUGUUAAGUGCCCCGCCUGGGGAGUAUGGUCGCAAGGCUAAAACUCAAAGGAAUUGACGGGGGCUCACACAAGCGGUGGAGCAUGUGGUUUAAUUCGAAGCAACGCGAAGAACCUUACCCAGGCUUGACAUGCAGGGAUUAAUCCGGUGAAAGUCGGAGGAUUGCCUUCGGGUGUAACCUGCACAGGUGUUGCAUGGCUGUCGUCAGCUCGUGUCGUGAGGUGUCGGGUUAAGUCCCAUAACGAGCGAAACCCCUGCCACUAGUUACCAGCGGAUAAUGCCGGGGACUUUAGUGGGACUGCCUGUGUCAAGCAGGAGGAAGGUGGGGACGACGUCAAGUCAUCAUGGCCCUUACGUCCUGGGCUGCAAACGUCCUACAAUGGUCGGUACAAAGGGUUGCAAUCCCGUGAGGGGGAGCUAAUCCCACAAAGCCGGCCUCAGUUCGGAUUGUAGGCUGCAAUUCGCCUACAUGAAGUUGGAAUCGCUAGUAAUCGCGGAUCAGCUACGCCGCGGUGAAUAUGUUCCUGAGCCUUGUACACACCGCCCGUCAAGCCACGGAAGCCGGAGGUACCCGAAGUCGUUAACCCAACCGCAAGGAGGGAGACGCCGAAGGCAAGCCUGGUGAUUGGGACUA
rnacentral:rRNA from 1 species